rnacentral:rRNA from 1 species
UUAGUUGCUAACUGGGUUACCAGUGCACUCUAAGUAGACUGCCGCAGAUAAUGCGGAGGAAGGUGGGGAUGACGUCAAAUCAUCAUGCCCCUUACGUCCCGGGCUACACACGUGCUACAAUGGUCUGUACAGAGGGUAGCAAAAGAGCAAUCUGGAGCCAAUCCCAAAAAGCAGGCCCAGUUCGGAUUGGAGGCUGCAACUCGCCUCCAUGAAGUCGGAAUCGCUAGUAAUCGCGGAUCAGCCAUGCCGCGGUGAAUACGUUCCCGGGCCUU